rnacentral:lncRNA from 10 species
UUUAUUUCUAAAUAAUUUUAUGUGUGUCUCCUAAAAACAAUGCAUUAUCUUGCAUAAUUAUAGUAUAACUAUCAAAAUCAGGAAAUUAAAAAUGGUUUACUGUUAAUAUCUCAUCCAUAAACCUUAUUUUACUUUUUUCAGUUGUCUCAAUAAUAUUUUUUAUAGCCAAAUAAUUUAAGAUGGGUGAUUUUACAAUCCAUGAUGUUGACUUUCAUAAUCCAUGAUGUUGAGAGGUUUCAGCAUUUUUACGUUGAUUCUUUCUCAUCUCUGUGGGCCUAUCUACCUUUGAUGUUUGAGGUUGCUGGCCUUUGGAGGAGGUCGAUCUGUGUCAAAUUAUUCUGUCUUUUUAGUCUCUUUUAGUCCAGCAUGAUUCCUGAGUCUUUCCUUGAUUUUCAUGGCAUUUAUGUGUUUGAAGAGUAUGGGUCAGUUUUUUGUGGAUUUUCUCUCAGUUUGGGUUCAUAGGAUAUUUCUUCAUGAUUCAGUUCAGGUUAUACCAUUCAGGCAGGAAGGUCACACAAGUGAGGCUGAGUUCUUCCCAAUGCAGCAUAUCUGGAGGCAUAUGCUGUUACUUGGCUCCAUUACUGGCCAGUGUUGGCUUUGUUUGAGAAUCUACCAGGUCUGUCCAUGAUAAAGUGACUAUCUACCCUUUGUUUUUCACCAAUGUCUUACGUGAACAUAGUUUGAGGCUCUGUAAAUAUCUGGUUACUCUAAACAUCUCACCCACUAGAUUUAGCAUUUCAUUGAUUAUUUUUGUUGGGUCAGUUAUUAUUAUGGUGGUUGCCAAAUCAUGAUUGUCUUCAUCUUUCAUUCCUUCUAAGUGGAUAAGUAAAACAAAACAAAACCAACCAACAAAUAGGGGAGAAGGGAAAAUUUAUUGUUUUGCUGUUCAGGUUCCCUCCGCUUUGACCAGUGGUAGCCAUUUCAAGCUGAGUUCAUGUCUUUUUGAACUGUCCUUAUUGUUCUUUGAAUACUUCCUUACUUUCUGGCAUAAGCUGUUUCAACCAUACUUCGUAUUUUCUCUGCCCUAGCCCUUGAAUCAGCCAUUUUCAUUUUUUUCCAGAAGCCCUGACUUUCUUUAGGGGACAGUAAUUAGAAACCAAUAUCUGGGCAGUAAUUGUGGUAGAUACGUAUGGCUAUUGGAGUUGUCAUUGCUCAUAGGCUUCCUCAGUGAACAGAGCAGAAAAAUACAGCUAGAUGGAUAAAUAUACAAACAUACAUGCUUAUAUUCAUCCAUAUUUCUAUAUU